CUUGGUCAUUUAGAGGAAGUAAAAGUCGUAACAAGGUCUCCGUAGGUGAACCUGCGGAGGGAUCAUUACACAAAUAUGAAGGCGGGCUGGAACCUCUCGGGGUUACAGCCUUGCUGAAUUAUUCACCCUUGUCUUUUGCGUACUUCUUGUUUCCUUGGUGGGUUCGCCCACCACUAGGACAAACAUAAACCUUUUGUAAUUGCAAUCAGCGUCAGUAACAAAUUAAUAAUUACAACGUUCAACAACGGAUCUCUUGGUUCUGGCAUCGAUGAAGAACGCAGCGAAAUGCGAUAAGUAGUGUGAAUUGCAGAAUUCAGUGAAUCAUCGAAUCUUUGAACGCACAUUGCGCCCUUUGGUAUUCCAAAGGGCAUGCCUGUUCGAGCGUCAUUUGUACCCUCAAGCUUUGCUUGGUGUUGGGCGUCUUGUCUCUAGCUUUGCUGGAGACUCGCCUUAAAGUAAUUGGCAGCCGGCCUACUGGUUUCGGAGCGCAGCACAAGUCGCACUCUCUAUCAGCAAAGGUCUAGCAUCCAUUAAGCCUUUUUUUCAACUUUUGACCUCGGAUCAGGUAGGGAUACCCGCUGAACUUAAGCAUAUCAAUAAGCGGAG
rnacentral:rRNA from 1 species